UAUUGUCAUCACAGAACAAUGCAACGUCAUUCUCUUCUCCUUCGUUUCUCUUUCUCAUCACAAAACAGCCAGCGCGGCGAUUGAAAACUGCCAUCCACAACUCCCUUGCCGUAGACAUCUUCACAGAUGUCAUCGGUCUUCUUGCAGGAGUAAUACCCAUUCUGAGGCAUCUCUCACACACACUCCUUCAUCCCACAAUUUCCUCACAACCCAGACGCAAAACUGUAAAAAAAGCCAAAAUCCGAGUGGAAAAAAUGACAAUGGAAAACGCGUAUGCUUGAUGGGGCUGAAAUGAAGAAGAAAAAUAAAGGUUCUGGUCGUUUUCCAGUUGGUAAGAAGAAAGUGAAGACAACGCUAUCAGCACUUGCAAAGGCAAAAGCUGCACAAGCAAUGGAAAUUGACAAAUGAGAUCAGUCUCAAGGAUUGGUGGCUCCAUUGUACCUCUUUCUGGUUAUAUGGGAAUUUUAUUGUCAGCUAUUCAUCUUCCCGUCACUGAGCGUCUUAGUGACGGGAAGAAGAAGGUAUUUAACUGAUAUUGUGCACUAAGUGCUUUGUUUUA